CCUACGGGUGGCUGCAGUCGAGAAUCAUUCACAAUGGGGGAAACCCUGAUGGGGCGACGCCGCGUGGGGGAAUGAAGGUCUGCGGAUUGUAAACCCCAGUCAUGGGGGAGCAAAUUAAAAAGAUAGUACCACAAGAGGAAGAGACGGCCAACUCUGUGCCAGCAGCCGCGGUAAUACAGAGGUCUCAAGCGUUGUUCGGAAUGACUGGGCGUAAAGAGUGCGUAGGCUGUUUCGUAAGGCGUGUGUGAAAGGCGCGGGCUCAACCCGCGGACGGCACAUGAUACUGCGAGACUAGAGUAGUGGAGGGGGAACCGGAAUUCUCGGUGUAGCCGUGAAAUGCGUAGAUAUCGCGAGGAACCCUCGUGGCGAAGGCGGGUUCCUGGACAUUAACUGACGCUGAGGCACGAAGGCCCGGGGAGCGAAAAGGAUUAGAUACCCUUGUAGUC
rnacentral:rRNA from 1 species